rnacentral:rRNA from 1 species
GUAUCCUGUCUGAAUAUGGGGGGACCAUCCUCCAAGGCUAAAUACUCCUGACUGACCGAUAGUGAACCAGUACCGUGAGGGAAAGGCGAAAAGAACCCCGGCGAGGGGAGUGAAAAAGAACCUGAAACCGUGUACGUACAAGCAGUGGGAGCCUCUUUAUGGGGUGACUGCGUACCUUUUGUAUAAUGGGUCAGCGACUUAUAUUCUGUAGCAAGGUUAACCGAAUAGGGGAGCCGAAGGGAAACCGAGUCUUAACUGGGCGUUAAGUUGCAGGGUAUAGACCCGAAACCCGGUGAUCUAGCCAUGGGCAGGUUGAAGGUUGGGUAACACUAACUGGAGGACCGAACCGACUAAUGUUGAAAAAUUAGCGGAUGACUUGUGGCUGGGGGUGAAAGGCCAAUCAAACCGGGAGAUAGCUGGUUCUCCCCGAAAGCUAUUUAGGUAGCGCCUCGUGAAUUCAUCUCCGGGGGUAGAGCACUGUUUCGGCAAGGGGGUCAUCCCGACUUACCAACCCGAUGCAAACUGCGAAUACCGGAGAAUGUUAUCACGGGAGACACACGGCGGGUGCUAACGUCCGUCGUGAAGAGGGAAACAACCCAGACCGCCAGCUAAGGUCCCAAAGUCAUGGUUAAGUGGGAAACGAUGUGGGAAGGCCCAGACAGCCAGGAUGUUGGCUUAGAAGCAGCCAUCAUUUAAAGAAAGCGUAAUAGCUCACUGGUCGAGUCGGCCUGCGCGGAAGAUGUAACGGGGCUAAACCAUGCACCGAAGCUGCGGCAGCGACGCUUAUGCGUUGUUGGGUAGGGGAGCGUUCUGUAAGCCUGUGAAGGUGUGCUGUGAGGCAUGCUGGAGGUAUCAGAAGUGCGAAUGCUGACAUAAGUAACGAUAAAGCGGGUGAAAAGCCCGCUCGCCGGAAGACCAAGGGUUCCUGUCCAACGUUAAUCGGGGCAGGGUGAGUCGACCCCUAAGGCGAGGCCGAAAGGCGUAGUCGAUGGGAAACAGGUUAAUAUUCCUGUACUUGGUGUUACUGCGAAGGG